UACGAAGGGGGCGAGCGUUGUUCGGAAUCACUGGGCGUAAAGCGCACGUAGGUGGAUCGCUAAGUCAGGGGUGAAAUCCUGGAGCUCAACUCCAGAACUGCCUUUGAUACUGGCAAUCUCGAGUCCGGGAGAGGUGAGUGGAACUGCGAGUGUAGAGGUGAAAUUCGUAGAUAUUCGCAAGAACACCAGUGGCGAAGGCGGCUCACUGGCCCGGUACUGACGCUGAGGUGCGAAAGCGUGGGGAGCAAACAGG
rnacentral:rRNA from 1 species